GGACCAGAGCACGUUCCUGGCUGCAGAGGCCACAAGUCACGCUGUCUCUGAGAGGUAUGGGGACAGGGGCGCAGAGGAAGAAUGAUCGCGAGUCCUCAGCCCUGUUUGGCUGACGGGGGACAGGGAUGGGUGGGAAAGAGGUACAGCGUUUUUCCACCUUCCCCACCCAUCACCCCUGAGAUUCCAAAUGAACAUCGGGACCAACCCCGGGAGCCCAGCGGAUGUUCAGGUGGAAUGUCACCAUCGCCCAGGUGGGGAUUUUUGUGUGUUUUGUUCACUGCUGUACACCCAGCCCCCAGCACAGCGCCUGUCCAGGACAAGUGCCCAGUAAACACUUGGGAAGCAAUGCAAGCGUCCUCCCAGCAGCUCCUGCAAACAGACCCCCGACCCAAGCCCUUCCUUCUGCCUCCACUGCCACCACUGCUGCUCAUCUCUGCUGGCACAGAAGUCUCUUCCCUGGUCUUCCAGAAAUCCCCUCUCCACACUCAGCCAGAGGGAGCUAUUAAAACUGUGGGCCAGCCCACAUCAGUCCACAGCAAAGUCCUCUCUAAGGGAUCUCUGUUGCUUGGAGAAUAAACCCUCGGAUUCCUUCCUUGGC
rnacentral:lncRNA from 1 species